rnacentral:rRNA from 1 species
GAUGAACGCUGGCGGCGUGCCUAAUACAUGCAAGUCGAGCGAACAGAUAAGGAGCUUGCUCCUUUGACGUUAGCGGCGGACGGGUGAGUAACACGUGGGUAACCUACCUAUAAGACUGGAAUAACUCCGGGAAACCGGGGCUAAUGCCGGAUAACAUUUAGAACCGCAUGGUUCUAAAGUGAAAGAUGGUUUUGCUAUCACUUAUAGAUGGACCCGCGCCGUAUUAGCUAGUUGGUAAGGUAACGGCUUACCAAGGCAACGAUACGUAGCCGACCUGAGAGGGUGAUCGGCCACACGGGAACUGAGACACGGUCCAGACUCCUGCGGAAGGCAGCAGUAGGGAAUCUUCCGCGAUGGGCGAAAGCCUGACGGAGCAACGCCGCGUGAGUGAUGAAGGUCUUCGGAUCGUAAAACUCUGUUAUUAGGGAAGAACAAAUGUGUAAGUAACUGUGCACGUCUUGACGGUACCUAAUCAGAAAGCCACGGCUAACUACGUG